ACGAACGCUGGCGGCGUGCUUAACCCAUGCAAGUCGAACGGAAAGGCCUCUUUCGGGGGGUACUCGAGUGGCGAACGGGUGAGUAACACGUGAGUAACCUGCCCUUGACUUUGGGAUAACUUCAGGAAACUGGGGCUAAUACCGGAUAGGAGCUCCUGCUGCAUGGUGGGGGUUGGAAAGUUUCGGCGGUUGGGGAUGGACUCGCGGCUUAUCAGCUUGUUGGUGGGGUAGUGGCUUACCAAGGCUUUGACGGGUAGCCGGCCUGAGAGGGUGACCGGCCACAUUGGGACUGAGAUACGGCCCAGACUCCUACGGGAGGCAGCAGUGGGGAAUAUUGCACAAUGGGUGGAAGCCUGAUGCAGCAACGCCGUGUGCGGGAUGACGGCCUUCGGGUUGUAAACCGCUUUCGCUCAUGACGAAGCUUUGUGUGACGGUAGUGGGUAAAGAAGCACCGGCUAACUACGUG
rnacentral:rRNA from 1 species